rnacentral:rRNA from 1 species
AUUGAACGCUGGCGGCAUGCCUUACACAUGCAAGUCGAACGGCAGCACGGACUUCGGUCUGGUGGCGAGUGGCGAACGGGUGAGUAAUGUAUCGGAACGUACCUUUCAGUGGGGGGAUAACGUAGCGAAAGUUACGCUAAUACCGCAUAUUCUGUGAGCAGGAAAGCAGGGGAUCGCAAGACCUUGCGCUGAUUGAGCGGCCGAUAUCAGAUUAGCUAGUUGGUGGGGUAAAGGCCUACCAAGGCUACGAUCUGUAGCGGGUCUGAGAGGAUGAUCCGCCACACUGGAACUGAGACACGGUCCAGACUCCUACGGGAGGCAGCAGUGGGGAAUCUUGCGCAAUGGGCGAAAGCCUGACGCAGCAACGCCGCGUGGGGGAUGAAGGCUCUCGGGUUGUAAACCCCGUUUCAGCAGGGACGAAUCAAGACGGUACCUGCAGAAGAAGCCCCGGCUAACUACGUGCCAGCAGCCGCGGUAAU